rnacentral:rRNA from 1 species
UAGGGAAUCUUCGGCAAUGGACGGAAGUCUGACCGAGCAACGCCGCGUGAGUGAAGAAGGUUUUCGGAUCGUAAAGCUCUGUUGUAAGAGAAGAACGAGUGUGAGAGUGGAAAGUUCACACUGUGACGGUAUCUUACCAGAAAGGGACGGCUAACUACGUGCCAGCAGCCGCGGUAAUACGUAGGUCCCGAGCGUUGUCCGGAUUUAUUGGGCGUAAAGCGAGCGCAGGCGGUUAGAUAAGUCUGAAGUUAAAGGCUGUGGCUUAACCAUAGUACGCUUUGGAAACUGUUUAACUUGAGUGCAAGAGGGGAGAGUGGAAUUCCAUGUGUAGCGGUGAAAUGCGUAGAUAUAUGGAGGAACACCGGUGGCGAAAGCGGCUCUCUGGCUUGUAACUGACGCUGAGGCUCGAAAGCGUGGGGAGCAAACAGGAUUAGAUACCCUGGUAGUCCACGCUGUAAACGAUGUCGAUUUGGGGAUUGGGCUUUGAGCUUGGUGCCCGUAGCUAACGUGAUAAAUCGACCGCCUGGGGAGUACGGCCGCAAGGUUA